rnacentral:rRNA from 1 species
AACGAACGCUGGCGGCAUGCCUAACACAUGCAAGUCGAACGAGACCUUCGGGUCUAGUGGCGCACGGGUGCGUAACGCGUGGGAACCUUCCCUUAGGUUCGGAAUAACUCCCCGAAAGGGGUGCUAAUACCGGAUAAUGUCUUCGGACCAAAGAUUUAUCGCCUUUGGAUGGGCCCGCGUUGGAUUAGCUAGUUGGUAGGGUAAAAGCCUACCAAGGCGACGAUCCAUAGCUGGUCUGAGAGGAUGAUCAGCCACGCUGGGACUGAGACACGGCCCAGACUCCUACGGGAGGCAGCAGUGGGGAAUAUUGGACAAUGGGCGAAAGCCUGAUCCAGCAAUGCCGCGUGAGUGAUGAAGGCCUUAGGGUUGUAAAGCUCUUUUACCCGGGAUGAUAAUGACAGUACCGGGAGAAUAAGCGCCGGCUAACUCCGUG